rnacentral:tRNA from 1 species
AAUCUAUUGAGGAAAAAAGAAAAGCUCGCUCGCUAACGUUUGCAUUAUUUGUUUGCAUGGCAUUG